rnacentral:lncRNA from 1 species
GUGAUUUUAGCCUUUCUCUGAAGAAUCUCCUCCUGGCUCCUGACAGAGCUUGGCAGUCACCCUCUGGCUCCGUUCUUCAGAGGGAAUGAACACAUCAGCCUGUGAGCUAACUUGGCCUGAACACCACCCUUGAGACUCAGAAUCCGCUGCAGAGGGGCGGGAGACGAGAGAAGGGAGACAGGGCGAGAACCCUCCGCAGCUGAUUGCGGCGCGUGGAAGUACCAGGUCGGGAAGGAAGUCUUCGACAGCUGACGCCUCGAGUAGAAAUGAAGAGCAGCCCACCCUCUGAGAGUCGCUGUCACUGAGGAAGGGCGAGCGGAAGCCCUGACCUUCCCCGCAGCUCCCGGGGGGCACUGCCUUCUGGCACUUUCUGAGCUCCUCCCCUCUCCCAUCCUCUUGGCCUCAACCGUCUCUCCAGCGCGCACACACCCCACCCUCAGAGAACCUGAUGGUAUCCUGGGUGAACUCUCGGGUGAAAGCCCUAAAGGCAACCGAGAAGGCUUAUAAAAAAGCAAAUCCCAGUGAUCUGUUUGGAGGGGAAAAAAGGGAAAGUUUUGAAUAGCAUCCUCAGCACUGAUGGUGGUGAGCGGUGCAAAUGAAACGAAAUCUUCAGCCCUCAGUCCUGAGCUUCUCUACUGGAGCAAACAACAAGGAAAUGUCCGUCUCGCCUUUGUUUGUUGGGAACUGGAGAGAUUGAAGAUAGAGGUUCACCGUGCUGAUCAAUCCCUGGGGCUUGUGGUCCCUCCGGUUGUCUUUCAAUCACUCUCUACCUCGGAUAGAAAUUGACAUUAGCACCCCACUCUUGAAAAGCUGUUACAUGCCACCUGAACGCUGCAAUAUCAGGAAAAUAGGCUGACUACAGUUGAACGAUCAGAAUCUCUAACUCCGCAUCAGCCUGCUACUUGAAUUCUGCAAGGUAGAAGCCAGAAGUAACCUGCAUCCUCUUACUGCUCUCCACUUUCUCUCGCUCCGUUGUCAGUUAGUCAGUAAAUACAUGAGCAUAGUCAGACCUUGUGCUAGGUACCAGAAACGCAGCUGUGAACAAGAUACACAGUUCUGGCUUUCAUGGAUCUUACAGCAGAGAAGGAAGAUGUUAAAUAAAUAAUUGCAAGUAAGGUGAGUCCUACA